ensembl:lncRNA
UAGAGGAGGAAGAAAGGCAUGCUCUUUGUCACAGAGAAAAUGAUCACCUGUCUCCUGCCGCCCCCUGGUGGAGGCUGUCCGGCGGGAGGAGAGGGCGCAGGUUCGGUUGUUAUGGUGAAGCAUUUCCCCAGAGGGCUGGCUGAAGCUGGAGCUGCGGCGGACAGCAGCUGAUUCAGUUUCACCGCUCGCCCAGGACCUACCGCUGACAGGCAGCGCAACAGGGCUGCAGCUACAAACAUUUCCUGUAUCAGUACCCAAAGUGGAAAUUAUUUCAAGGUAUGUGACAUCUUCGUUUGUCUUGCUUUGUCCAAGCAUCAGCCCAAAAAUACGUUAAAUUUAAAACAAGUUUUUCUUUUUUCUUUUUCUUUUUUUUUUUUUUAAACGCAGAGAAGCAGUGUAGAUGCUACACUUGGGUAACGCUUGGCUUUUUGAUUAGAAAUAAUGAUUCAUGAUUUGACAAGCCAUUCCCAGCUCUAUCCCUUCUAACAGUGAGUAUUUGUGAGUCUGUGGCACACAUUUUAGGCUACUUUGGCAUUGUUUCAGACUGCAGGCGGGAUCAUUCCCGAAUCAUCAAGCUACACUGACUCAGCAAUGUUUGUUUCAAUGAGUGGGUCGGUAAGGUCCUCUGUUUCAAAUCAAAUAGCUCACCAGGCUGGAGGCUGUACACAGGAGCCGUCCGGUGCUGUUUUAUGAUGACAAACCCAUGAUUG